rnacentral:lncRNA from 1 species
GUGUUAAGGAGAGUUGCACUGAAAAGCUAAGUUGAAAUGUAAGGGGCUGUAAACAUUUUUUUCCAGGUAAAAAAGGGUUAAAAGGCAUGGAAGGAGGAGAGACAAAGGCAAGGCGAUGGAAAUGGGAAAGUGUCAUGAUCCACUGGGGAAAUGGCAAGGAGGAAAGAUAAGCACAGGUCAGAUUGAGACAGGUGUUCAUGGCCUGAAAGGCAGGAGGUCUGGAGAGGUUGUUGCCCAGUUUGCCCUGUUCACUUGAGACCAUGGGUGUGAACUUUGUGGAGGGCCAUGCAUCUGACUUGGAGCAAU